AUACAUUUUCUCGAUUGAUUUAAAAGGUGAAUAGUAUUUUGAAAGGAUUAAAGAAACGUUUGAGAUCAAAUAGAGUAAUAGAGGAUUAUAUUGUGUUGAAAGGUGCUUUGAUCACAGUAGUGCUAAAUAUUCAAUAUGCCAUUGCUAAUUUUAAAGCCACCCCGAAGAGACCCAGUUUUCAUCAAAAUAAUCGCGUCGAAGUGAUCCGGCAUUAGCGUUGCCAAACGCCAACGGCAUUAUGAUAGAUCCAGCAUUACCGAAACAUAACAAUUACCGGCUGUUGCAAGUGGAGUAUUUUGCCCGGUUGCACCCUGUUCCGCAUUUGGAGGUAAACGCCGAAGCGUGGGAGAAACUGGUUCAUUUCAACAAAAAGAUAAAUGUCUUCUCAAUAUACGAGUGGAUUAGUUUUCAGUGUUGGCAUGAGACACCUCCAGCAACCGAAAACCUCAAACGGUGAGAUCUGAAUAAUUCGAUUGGAGAGAAGUGUAGAAGAAAUAGUACGACACCGGCGACACGUAGUAUUUUAUCAACAAGGCAAAAAAACUAAAAUAACUCCAGUUUCGGAUGACAAUCUGCGUACUUUGAUUAACCAGGAUGAAGCCACCGUUAUGAAAAUUGUACCUGCAUCGUGGUACAAAUUUCGGGUCUGAGGAACGGCGACGAAUUUCACUGUUCAUCCGGAUAUUCCAGAAACGUGGAAUAGUGCUGUUACUAGAUGAUUUAACCGUGGAAGUUGGAGGUGUUUAGAUACCAGCAUAUUUGUGGCUCAUUGGCAAGAUAAGUCACAUGUCACAAACAAAUUACUUUGGAUAAGUGGACGAACUUAGUUAACAUACGGAUGGUCAAAAUUUAGGUCAUAGUCAAAACUUUUUUUGUUUUGAUGCGCAUAUUGAUUUUGACCAGCAAUGGAAGCGCUCACAGAAUUAAGACUUUUGACAAGUGUACAUACGUAGAUGUGGACAGACCAGUUCUACUGAACGCGGAAAUUAUUGGCUCAGAUUAAGUUCAUCGACAAUUGCUGCAGUGCCCGAAGGAGAAUUGAUUCAAACACGUCUGAAAAGAGCAUGAAUUCUCAUCAAGCAUUAUCACAAGGAGGUGGCUGACAGAUCCCCGACAUGCAGGUUUGACCUUCAAUACAAAACCGGGAUUAUAGAUUAUAGGAUGAUGAAGAAGGGGAAUGCUAUAGAGGUGAUCGGAUAUCAACAUGGGUACAAUCAGCACAAGCGUUCACAAUCUCGGUUGUGAUCGAUGUGACAAACUAUCGUAUCUCCAGCGAUUAGGAUCCACCACGACCAAAAUCAGGAGGAAGGCAGAUAACAAUGUUCCUAGUCCGUAGAGAUUACCUGACAUUAACUUCAAAGCAAAAAAGCUAAGUAUUAAUGUUUUUAAUUUUCAUUCCGUCAAGACAAUUUAUUAAUAGGGUAUCGAAUCAUUUGACCAGCACUCUUAUUCCCGUCCUCAAUGUCUACUACUCGGACGCAUUACAACAAAAUUACUUGGUUUUUGGUACAUGGCAAGCAUCUUCAGAUUUCUAGUGAUAUACAUAAAAUCAAAUCAUGUGGUUGUAACGCGAUUGAGUUUUAAAAGAAGCGGACGGGAAUAUGGGGUGCUGCCCAAAUGGUUCUUCUCCCUAUUUACAAUAACUUCUGGAAUUUCAGCUGCAUUCUUUUCGAAGUCCUCUCAGGGUUAUUUAAAUAUAUGUUUUUUUAUUCUUAGUGCAACUUUUUCAGGAUUAUCGGAAAAAACAAGAUAUCAUCGGGAAUCUUUGUAGGAUUCCACUUUUACCUUUUUUUUAGAUUCCUUCUAAAAUCUUCUGGAAGUUCCUUCUGGAUGACUCUAUGAAUUCCCUUUAGAACUCUUUACGGAUUCCUCCAAGAAUUGUUUUGGAAUAUCUUGUAUGAAUUCAUUUCACAAUACAUCUGAGAUUUUUGGGGAUUUAUUCCGGAAUUAUUUUGAGAUAGUUUAAAGAAUCGUGUGAGGAUUAGGGAUUCCUUCCGGAGUCUUUCGGGGACUUUUUUUAAAGAAUCGUUUAAAAAUUUCUCCCGGUAUCGUUUAGGGAUUCCUUCCGGAAUCAUUCGGGAAUUUCUUUCGGAAUCCUUUUGAGAUCCCUUCCGGAAUCGUUUGCGCAUUCUUUCCUGAAUCGCUUUGGCAUUCUUUCUUGAAUUGUUUGUAGAUUCCUUCCGAAAUCGUUUUGGUAUUUUUCCGCAAUCGCUUCGGGAUUCUUUCAGGAAUCGUUUUGGGAUUCCUUGAGUAAACGUUUGGAUAAAUUUCCUCCCGAUGUUUUUGGGCACAGACAAGCAGACGCAACGCUUUCAUUUUGAAAUAUUUUAAGGAUUCCUUCAAAAAUUAUUUUAGAAUAUUUUCUGAAUACAAUACAUAUUUUUUAAUUUAAUAAUCCUACUACUCUGUUGUCAUUUCAGGGUUCGUUAUAGAUUAUAUUUGGUUUCUGCUAAAACCACAUCAACACCUUUUAACAUUUUGUCUGUGCUCUGGGGACGAUCUGACCUCAGGCUACUUUGAAAAUCUUUUUUUUUAUUUUUCAACUGAUUCUUAUAAUAGUUUGUAAAACUCGCCGAGAUCUGUCCGCUAGGUGCAAAUCCGCUUAAAAAAUCUCGAAAAUAACCGCUAUGGCUAUAGUCUAAUUUUAUCAAAAAAAAUUACGUUGUCUGUGCUCUGGGGUCAUAUUGACCUCAAAUUGAAAUUGCUGUAACUUUUUGAUUGUUUGGUCUGUUCCGGAUUUUUUCGAAUGGAUCGAAAAUUAAAUUAAUCAUCUUUUAGAACGUUACCUUAGAUUGAUCAUAGGUAGGCGGGUACCUUGCGGGGUGGUAUUUUCGUAAAAAAGAGUGCAAAAACAGUGAUUUUUUGUGCUUAUCUAAAAAUCCAAAAAUUGCACCUUUUCAAAAAGGUAAUGCAGGAAGGCAUGUGGUUUGAUAUGAGACAUUGAUUAGUUUAGAAUUUGGCCGCUAGGUGGUGGUAUGUAUCUAUGAUAAUAUUGUUUUAGACUACCCGAGAUACUCCGAUACAUAUAUGGAAUAUUGUACAUUGGAAAUAUUCUUAUCGAACUAAUUUCGAAUUUGUAAAAAUGAUGCAAAGAUUGUCUGAAGGAAAUGGGAAGGAACUACAAAGCGGUGCUCAGUAUAAUGAGUAUUUCUUCCAAGAGGCGGCACUAGUCAGCAGUUAUGUUUGAGUAUUUUGUUCCAUGUAAGGGCCGAUGCCCACGUAGUUUUUUUUCAACGCUGCGUGCACACGGCGUUAAAAGGACGCAUGUGUGCAUCGGGAAAAAGCGGUAACGCAGCGUCGCUGCACCGAUGCACACCUGCGUUUUUUCAACGCCACGUGCACGCAGCGUUGAAAAAACGCUACGUGGGCAUCGGCCCUAAGAUCUCAUGUAUUUGAGGCGUAGUAUUUUUGGCAAACAUAAAUAAUACGGUAGGGUCUUCCAAAGGUUUUAUUCUUAUUCAACUUGCUCUAGUGAUGCAAAUGAUAGAAUGCGUUUACAGAAUAUGUUUAGGUUAUUCAAGUAAAACCCGGAGUUAAGGCCUUUUGAUCUACGCGCGUAACCAAAGGUCAGCUAGUCUGUUGCAAAUGUGGUACAUACUCUUAGUGAUACUAAGAAUAAAAAGCAUUCACAGUAUAUGUCCUUGGACAUUCAAGAAUUCCCUGGAAUUAAGGCCUUUGGGUCUACAGGUAUAACCAAAGGUCAGCCAGUGUGUUUCAAAUGUGCUACAUGCUCUUGAUGAUAAAAUAAAUAAAAUGCGUUCACAGUAUAUGUUCUUAGCCAUCCAAGAAUUCCCUGGAGUUAGGGCCUUUGGGUCUACAGACGUAACCGAAGAUCAGGUAGUUUGUUGGUACUUGCUCUUAUUGAUAAGUUGAUUAGAAUGCGUUUACAUUAUACAGAUCCCAUUCGAUUUUGGCAACGCGUUCCGAACAUUUAUGUUACCAAAAUCGAAUGGGAUCUGUAUGUUCUUGGUAGUUUAAGAACUUCCUGGAAUUAAGGCCUUUGGGUCUACACGCAUGCAUGAAUACCAUAGAAAAAAUUCAAUAAAUCACGCAUGAAUAAACCUUACGAAUGAGUAUUUACCUUAUAAUUGACAUUCGCCCAGCUUGAAGAAAAAAAAUAGAAAACUAUAAUGCCAAAACUUCAACGCAUUCAAUUUGUAAUAAUAUUAUAACAUUACAGCUUUCUAUUUUUUACAAACUGAAUGAAUGCCAAUUAUUAUGUAAAUACUCAUUACUAUCUCUUUAAAGCAAAUUCUUGUAUUCCAAGAGUCUCAUCGUCAACCUAGGGUAUAUGUUAUGAACACAUUAUUUCCAAUGAAUUACUAGAAGUAUGUACCGGCUUUGUAUUACCUACUAGGAGCAUGUGUCAUAUCUGAACUAUGCUGACUGGUCUUUUGUUCGGGUGUAGACUCAAAGCCCUUGACUCGAGGGAUUCCUUGAAUGACCAAGAAAAUAUUUUGUGAACGCACUCUAAUAUAAAUAGCGUCUAGAAAAUUCUUAACUCCAGGCCUUCUCCAUGGCCAUGAAUAUAUACGGUAAACUGAACAUAUUUUUUUCUUUAUGUCACUAAGAACAUGCAGUGUAACAUGAAACAGAUUGGCUGAUCUUCGUUUACGUGUGUAGACCCAAAGGACUUAACUUCAGGGAAUUCUUGAAUGACCAAGAACAUGAACAGUGAACACAUUCUGAACAUAGUAACACUAAGAGUAUGUACUAUAUUUGAAACAGGCUGAUUGAUCUUCGAUUGCCUGUGUAGACCCAAAGGCCCUAAUUCCAGGGAUUUCUUGGAGAGCCGAGAACAUAUACUGUGAACGCAUUUAAAUCUAGGUAUCACUAAGAGUAUCUACCAUAUUUGGUGACACUUAUAGAUUCAAAGGCCUCCACAGAUUUGUCGGAUUAUCUAGAACAUAUACUGUGUACGCAUAUUUUUUAUCACUAAGAGUAAGAGCAUGGCGCAUAUUUAAAAUAAAUUGGCUGAACUUUGGUUACACCUGUAGACCCAAAGGCCUUAACCCCAGAGAAUUCAAGUUUCCACGGAGAAGAGACAUUUCUUAAAAUUUUAAUGUUUGAUGUCGUAAUUGAAUGAUUUUCCUGAUAUACAUGUUCAGCUACCUAAGACCUAAACUCAUAAUUUAAUCCCUUAUCAGUUUCCCUCUUAGCCUUACUUACUUCUGCAAUAUGUUCUUUGAACCUUACAUCUAACGAUCUUUUUGUUUGACCUACAUAUACUUUAUCACACUGUGAACAAUUAAUUUGAUAAACCCCUGCCUUAUUUAACAUUUCUACUCUAUCCUGCUGGAGAAUAAUAAAUCGAUGCCGAAUUUUCUCAGUCGAUGGCGUAGCUGGUGGGUGAUGUGGGGACCGAUAGCCUCUUCAGCAAUUCAUCGAUCGGUGUCUGUGUUGUCAGUUCGUUUUCCGUAGGUUCCUCUGCUUCUUGUUGAUAAUUGCUUGUAUUGUUCUUUCCUUGUAUCCGUUGAUCUUCGCUGUUUCCAUGAUGUGUUGUAGCUCCUUCGUUUUUCCUUCUUCGCUCAGGGGGAUCGUCUGCAUCCUGUGGAUCAUGUGAUGAAAAGCUGCCAUUUUAUGCUGAUACGAAUAAUUUGAUGUGAAUUAAGGUGUUUGCACAUUCAGUUCGGGUUCGAUUCAAGCGCCAUCUAUUUGUAAAAUUCCUAAUUACUUUUCCCGUCACAGUUCAGCAGUCCAUUCCCUUCAGACGACCUUUGCAUCAUCUUUACAAAUUCCACAUUUGUUCGAUAAGAAUUAUUUACAAUGUACAAUAUUCCAUAUAUCGGAGUAUCUUGGGUAGUCAAAAAUAAUAGUCAUACAUACCCCCACCUAGCGACCAAAUUUUAAACUAAUCAAUGUCUCAUAUCAAACCACAUGCUUUGUUGCAUAUCCUUUUUGAAAAGGUGCAGUUCAAAGUGGGUAGGAUUUUAAGAUACAACUAAAAUAAGCACAAAAAAUCACCACAAGGUGCCUGCCCACCUAUGGUCAAUCUUAGGUAACGUCCUAAAAGAUGAUUGAUUUAUCUUUCGUAACAUUCCAAAAAAACCGGAAUUGACCAUAUAGUUAUAACAAUUUUAAUUUGGGGUCAAUAUGACUCCAGAGCACAGACAACGUUAGUUUUUUGGAGCACACACGGAAGGUUAAAUUAGGAAUUCUAACCCGAAAUAUUUUAAAAAUACCGUCAGGGAACUAUUUUUAGAUUCCUUUCAGAAUCCCUUUGGAAUCGGAGAAUAAUUUAGUUUCGGGAGUGGUACUGGAAUUCUUUGGGGAUUCAUCCUGAAAAAAACUGAAUCGCAAGUCAGUCCUAUCUGUUUAUGGAUGCCAUAUACCGAUUCGAUAAAGGGUUCUCCCUGAAAUCGUGAGAGGAUACUACCAGGAUUCUCGAAAAAAUGUUCCCAGGGUUUGCGAAUUAUUUUUUCCAUGAUUCACUAAAGUAUCUUUCCAAGAUUCGCGAAAGAAUACUUCCACGAUUCGUAAAAAGGUCCUUCCAGGACUUGUGAAAGAAUUCUCACUGAAUUUGCGAAAGGAUUCUUCCACAAAAUGAUUCUUCCACGAUUUAUGGAAUGUUCGUCCCAAUGUUCGCGGAAGGAUUCUCCUAGGAUUCGCAAAAAGAUUCUCCCAGGAUUUGCGAAAGGAUCGUCCUAGCAUAGAGAAACAGACGUCUCACUCUACACAUGUUCUAUCGUUCAUCUUUUUAACGGUGGGUUCAAUUUUUUGUCGAUCGUUUGUUUUGGUCGAUCGGGCACCAAUGGCGCUUCCAUCGGUUUUGCUUGUGUUUGACGUUUGCCCACUAUCGCCAUCUGGUUGCCGUUUGUCCACCUACAGUCCAUUUAACAUUGGUCGGUAAUGUUUCCGUGGCGAUGAUUUGGAUUGCAUUUUGUUCUAAGUUAAAUGUCUGUUUCUUUGUGGUCCUAGGGUUCACGAAGGGGUUCUGCUGAAAUUCGCGAAAGGGUACUCCCAGGAUUUGUGAAAAAAUCCCAAGAUUUAUGAUAGAGUCCUCACAAGACUAAU